CCUACGGGUGGCAGCAGUGAGGAAUAUUGGUCAAUGGGCGGAAGCCUGAACCAGCCAAGUCGCGUGAGGGAUUAAGGCCCUACGGGUCGUAAACCUCUUUUGCCGGGGAGCAAUGGUCCGUACGCGUCCGCCCCUGGAGAGUACCCGGAGAAAAAGCAUCGGCUAACUCCGUGCCAGCAGCCGCGGUAAUACGGGGGAUGCGAGCGUUAUCCGGAUUUAUUGGGUUUAAGGGGUGCUUAGGCGGGCAGUUAAGUCGGCGGUCAAAUGUCGGGGCUCAACCCGGGCCUGCCGUCGGAACUGGUGGCCUGGAGAGGGCGAGAAGUAGGCGGAAUGCGUGGUGUAGCGGUGAAAUGCAUAGAUAUCAUACAGAACACCGAUUGCGAAGGCAGCUUACCAAUGUAUAUCUGACGUUGAGGCACGAAAGCGUGGGGAGCAAACAGGAUUAGAUACCCGAGUAGUC
rnacentral:rRNA from 1 species